rnacentral:rRNA from 1 species
UGGGGAAUAUUGCGCAAUGGGGGAAACCCUGACGCAGCAACGCCGCGUGAUUGAAGAAGGCCUUCGGGUUGUAAAGAUCUUUAAUUGGGGACGAAUAUUGACGGUACCCAAAGAAUAAGCUCCGGCUAACUACGUGCCAGCAGCCGCGGUAAUACGUAGGGAGCAAGCGUUAUCCGGAUUUACUGGGUGUAAAGGGCGAGUAGGCGGGAAUGCAAGUCAGAUGUGAAAGCCCGGGGCUUAACCCCGGAACUGCAUUUGAAACUGUGUUUCUUGAGUGAUGGAGAGGCAGGCGGAAUUCCCAGUGUAGCGGUGAAAUGCGUAGAUAUUGGGAGGAACACCAGUGGCGAAGGCGGCCUGCUGGACAUUAACUGACGCUGAGGCGCGAAAGCGUGGGGAGCAA